UCUUGGCUGAGUCUACAGGCACAACUGCUGCC
rnacentral:piRNA from 1 species